AUUGCUUGUAUCGUUCUUAGUCUUUGUCUGCAAAGUUGUUUAUUAAUUGUCUUGUAAUCUUCAAGUGAAUCAGCAAUUAAAUUUUGAAUUAUUUUGACCUGUUUUAUAAUUAAGUUGACAAAAAGUAGGAAAAUGUCAGGUAUAAUCAGGCUUAGCAUCAAUCAGCAUGGUCAAAAUUGGAAAGGAAUUGGCAUUGAAAUAAAACAGAGGAUUUGUUGAAAGAUAUCUAUUCAAUUUUCCAGGAUAAAUGGCUGUCACAAUUAAAUUUAAAGUUAUGUAUCAUAAAUGGAUCUGAAUGAGCCUAAUUUAUCCAGAACUGAAACAGUAAAGAUGAUUUCUUGCCAAGUUAACUGGAUGAUGGAACAUAUGAUGAUGAUGAUGAAUGCGACAAAAAAUUACUCUAAUCAAUCUUAUUCUUAAUCCAUUUGAAACUGUACAUCAAGCUACUAGCAAGGCAUGGAUAACCAUAUGAAAGACUCUGAUUGAUUGUUACAUUUAAUCAAUUACCAUGGAUACAAGAUAUGAUCGAGAAGGAAGAGUUGAUUAAAAUGGAUCCAAUUGUAAUAUAAUAAACCGACAAUUUACUGUUUUAGAUGAUCAUUGAUACAAAGGUUAAUUGUGAAAGCACACAAGAAAAGUACACAUAAUUGGUUCCACGCCAUUCCAGCUGUUAACCUGAAAUAAGUGAACACAGAGAGAGAUGAUUACUAUCGUUGGAUUUAAUUUUAAUAUGGUACAUUAAAAGCAUAACAUCAACAAUUAAUAACUAAUGGAGUAAAUUGUAAAGGAUUUUGACAAGGGCUGGAUUGUAUUUCAAUUAUAAACACAAGCAUUACCAACCACUCAAUGGAUCCUUUUCAUCUUAAUGAUACAAUUUGCUCAUAAUUGUCGAACCAGCUUAAGUAAUGUUAAUUAUCAAAAGGACAUUUCAUAAACAGUUAAUCAUUUAACCAGCCAAUAUCAUCUUGCAACUGCAGAAAGGAUUGACAGAGUUUACUGUAUUUAGCCAACUCGGCCAACAUGAUAACUCUAUGGAGGUUUCCAUGAAAAAAAGCUAAUGUCAUUUCAUCUUUCAGCCUGAAAGAAGCAGAAGAGAUUGAAUUGUCAAAAAAAGCCUUGGAAUGGUUCGAGUUAAUCACAAUUAAUGGUUUUAAUACAAUAACGGAAACUUGAACCAGCUCAAACUAGGAAGCACAUAAAAACACGUAAACACCAAAGGAAAUGGGUGCAAUCUAUUUGGAUAUAAUUUACGUUCAUUGACAGUUUUAUAUCACUUAUUGGCAGAAUUUAUUUGACAGACUGACUUUUUUUUUGUAUUCUGGACGAUCCAUUGAAAGACACUAAUUAAUCUGAUUUCAACGCAAAUGAGGACGCUUUGAAGGUUUUAAUGAAGGAAAAUAAUUACUCUGAUCGUCAAUACCAAUUUUUUUGGUAAAAUUACUUUUUCUUUCGUCCUCUUCAUUUUAAUUGUUGUGAACCAGCAAGUAGCAGUUAUAUCCUUGAGGCUUCCAUCAAACUCCAUUUGAAUUGUGGAGACAAAAUGAACAUCAACAGAUGACAAUCUAUUUAAUCAAUGAUUAAAAUGUUUUUCCUCUUUCUUCUCUUGUUAUUCUGGUUCACCACUGAAUUGAUAUUCAGGCUUUUGUUAUAAAAUGCUGUUGGUAAUCAUUAUUCAUAACAACCAUAAUGAAUUAUGAUUGUUGUAAUUUUUGACUUUGGCUUGACUUGAACCCAACUUUACGCAACUCAACCCCACACAAACCAGAUAAACUUAACUGUAACUCAGCUCAACCUAAUUAUUCAAGGAUAAUCAUCAUUGGAAACAUUGUUAAAUGUUGAUUUCAGCUUCUUUUUGUUGUCUCGAAUCAUCACCAUCACCAUCAAUCUAACCAUUCUGGCAGCCAUUAUUGUUAACAUCUAUUAUUGCUUCAUCACCUUGUUUAAUCUAAUUUAACUUUAAUUAGUCAAUCAAUCAUCAGCUAAAUCUUUAUCUCGCCGGUUCAUCGUCUGGUAAUGAUGAUAAUCAACAACCUUUCUUGAUUGUUACCAAAUUCAAAUGGUUAUUCCGUUUCCAUUAAAAGAUUCAAAUCAAACAAAAUAAGGUGAUGUUUGAUUAACCUGAUCAUCUCUGGAUAUCUUUACCUGAUCAACUGAUCACCAUUUUGUUCCGCUCGUUUAAUCAAUCAAUCAACCAAAAUCACUUGUACUGUUUGUAUUGAAAUAUCAAUCAUUACUUCAUUUGUUCAGUUUUUUUUAUUUAAUUUUCAAUUUUUCAUUUCAUUUUGAAUGCAAUGAUUGAUGUUAACAACUUUCAUUAAAUCAAUCAUUUAACCAAGUUUGGUACUUUAUUAAGCAAAAACCUCAAAUAAAGGGUCACCUUGACAGAGACAAUUGAUUAGACAAUCUAA